rnacentral:piRNA from 1 species
UGCUCUAGGAUUUAUGGCAAAAACAAAGU